rnacentral:rRNA from 1 species
GAUGAACGCUGGCGGUAUGCUUAACACAUGCAAGUCGAACGGGAUAUCUUCGGAUAUUUAGUGGCGGACGGGUGAGUAACGCGUGAGAACAUGCCCUUAGGUUCGGGACAACAGUUGGAAACGACUGCUAAUACCGAAUGUGCCGAGAGGUGAAAGAUUAAUUGCCUAGGGAUUGGCUCGCGUCAGAUUAGCUAGUUGGUAGAGUAACGGUUUACCAAGGCGACGAUCUGAACUGGUCUGAGAGGAUGACCAGUCACACUGGGACUGAGACACGGCCCAGACUCCUACGGGAGGCAGCAGUGGGAAUUUUCCGCAAUGGGCGAAAGCCUGACGGAGCAAUACCGCGUGAGGGAGGACGGCUCUUGGGUUGUAAACCUCUUUCUCAGGGAUGAUAAUGACAGUA